UACGUAGGGUGCAAGCGUUGUCCGGAAUUACUGGGCGUAAAGCGCUCGCAGGCGGCUCGAUGCGUCGUGCGUGAAACACCCCGGCUCAACUGGGGAGGGUCGUGCGAUACGGUCGGGCUGGAGGCCAGUAGGGGGAUGCGGAAUUCCGGGUGUAGCGGUGAAAUGCGUAGAUAUCAGGAGGAACACCUGUGGUGUAGACAGCUUACUGGACCAUAACUGACGCUGAGGCACGAAAGCGUGGGUAGCAAACAGG
rnacentral:rRNA from 1 species